GCCUUCUAGGUGUAGUGGUCAGCACGCUCGACGCGUAACCUAGAAGUCCGUGGUUCGAUUCCCGGCGAAGGCG
rnacentral:tRNA from 1 species